AAUUCGCCCUUGAGCACGUAGGUGGGUUUGUAAGUCAGAUGUGAAAGCCUUCUGUUCAACGGAAGAAUUGCAUCUGAAACUGCGAGUCUUGAGUGUAGGAGGGGAGAAUGGAACUCCUGGUGGAGCGGUGAAAUGCGUAGAUAUCAGAAGGAACGCCGGCGGCGAAAGCGAUUCUCUGGCCUAUUACUGACACUCAGUGUGCGAAAGCUAGGGGAGCAAACGGGAUUAGAUACCCCGGUAGUCCUAGCCGUAAACGAUGGGCACUAAGUAGAGGGAAUUACCGAUGUUCUCUCUGCCGUAGCUAACGCAUUAAGUGCCCCGCCUGGGGAGUACGGCCGCAAGGCUAAAACUCAAAAGAAUUGACGGGGGCUCGCACAAGCGGUGGAGCAUGUGGCUUAAUUCGAUGCAACGCGAAGAACCUUACCGGGGCUUGACAUGGUAGAAGUAGGAACCCGAAAGGGUAACGAACGGUAUCCAGUCCGUAACUAUCACAGGUGUUGCAUGGCUGUCGUCAGCUCGUGUCGUGAGAUGUUGGGUUAAGUCCCCUAACGAGCGAAACCCUUGUUUUUAGUUACCAGCGGGUUGUGCCGGGUACUCCAGAAAGACUGCCGUCGUCAAGACGGAGGAAGGUGGGGAUGACGUCAAGUCAUCAUGGUCCUUAUGCCCCGGGCUGCACACGUGCUACAAUGGUCAGUACAAACGGAAGCGAAGCCGAGAGGUGAAGCGAAUCCAAGGGCGAAUU
rnacentral:rRNA from 1 species